rnacentral:tRNA from 1 species
ACUUAAGUAGUUUAUUUAAAUUAGAACAUAACAUUGAAGAUGUUAAGGAAAUAUUUAUUUUUAAGUA